rnacentral:rRNA from 1 species
UAGUGAGUUUGAUCCUGGCUCAGAACGAACGCUGGCGGCAGGCCUAACACAUGCAAGUCGAACGGGAUCUUCGGAUCUAGUGGCGGACGGGUGAGUAACGCGUGGGAACGUGCCCUUUGGUUCGGAAUAGCCCUGGGAAACUGGGAGUAAUACCGGAUGUGCCCUUCGGGGGAAAGAUUUAUCGCCAAAGGAUCGGCCCGCGUUGGAUUAGGUAGUUGGUGGGUAAUGGCCUACCAAGCCGACGAUCCAUAGCUGGUUUGAGAGGAUGAUCAGUCACACUGGGGACUGAGACACGGCCCAGACUCCUACGGGAGGCAGCAGUGGGGAAUAUUGCACAAUGGGCGAAAGCCUGAUGCAGCGACGCCGCGU